CGCCCCGCCCGUGCGCACCACCGCACCUGCGGGCACUCGCCUCGGCGUCUGCGGGACCCGCGCCGCCCUCGCACACGCAGAUACCACUUUUAAAGAAGCCGAAAGCGCUGCAGCCCACCGACGCCGCCGAGCGCUGCCAGCUGCGGCCGUUCUCUCUGUCCGCAGUUGAGCCUGGACCCUGGAGUAGAAAGACAGUUCUCGGUUGGACAGCCAGAAAGAGAAGGAAGACUCCUCUCCGUUCCCGAGGAGAGUGGAGCGGCUGCCCUAGUGAAGAAAUGAAGACUCAAAGAAGUAAAGGACCUAUCUCAAAAUCACGUAACUACUUGAAAUAAAAGGCAAGCAGUUCCUGGCCUGUGAAACCCCAGUGACGGUGCCUGACUGUCAGUAUGCUGGCCCCAGUGUUGAGGGACAUGAUGGGCUUCAGCUCCCGGUUCCUGUCCUGAGACCAUAGCAGAAAGUGCCUUGGAUGAAGGCUUGGACUCCUGGAUCGUCUGGUGACUUCAACUGUCUGGUCUCAGGGUGGUGAACUUUCCUUGAACGUCUAACCUGUGAGUCUAUGGUAAGAUUGAAGUUAACACAUGCAUAGCUUUUGAAUGUGUCU